rnacentral:rRNA from 1 species
AGAGCGAACGCUGGCGGCAGGCUUAACACAUGCAAGUCGAGCGGGCGUAGCAAUACGUCAGCGGCAGACGGGUGAGUAACGCGUGGGAACGUACCUUUUGGUUCGGAACAACACAGGGAAACUUGUGCUAAUACCGAAUAAGCCCUUACGGGGAAAGAUUUAUCGCCGAAAGAUCGGCCCGCGUCUGAUUAGCUAGUUGGUGGGGUAACGGCUCACCAAGGCGACGAUCAGUAGCUGGUCUGAGAGGAUGAUCAGCCACAUUGGGACUGAGACACGGCCCAAACUCCUACGGGAGGCAGCAGUGGGAAUAUGGACAAUGGGCGCAAGCCUGAUCCAGCCAUGCCGCGUGAGUGAUGAAGGCCCUAGGGUUGUAAAGCUCUUUGUGCGGAAGAUAAUGACGGUACCGCAAGAAUAACGCCCCGGACUAACGUUCGUGCCAGCAGCCGC